rnacentral:lncRNA from 1 species
UAGUGUUAAAUUUAUGAAAAAUAGUGAAAACUGCCAGCACUUCUCAGUAGAUUCCCAUAUCUAUCUUGAGUCUGCUCUGCCUUGGCAAUUUUUUUUUUUUAAGAUUGGCAUGUGAACUAACAUCUGUUGCCAAUCUUUUUUUUCCCCUUCUUUUUUUCCCCAAAGCCCUCCAGUACAUAGUUGUAUACUGUAGUUUUUGUCCUUCUGGUUGUGCUGUGUGGGACACCCCCUCAGCAUGGCCUGAUGAGCUGUGUUGUGUCCAUACCCAGGAGCUGAACUGGUGAAACCCUGGGCUGCCGAAGCAGAGUGUGUGAACUUAACCACUCGGCCACGGGCAUGGGGCCGGCCCAAUUUUUAAAUCUCUAAAUGUCCUAAUGUACUAUACUGAUAUGUUCCAUAAAAUAAAGCUCUGCCCACAUAUAGAAGAAAUUAAUCAGAUCAGAGUUACAAAUGUAAUGAAAUAAAUGAGAUCACAAGCUGGAAAGGUUUUGGCUCUGUUUUAUUGGUUCAGACAAGAAGCUGACACUCUUUAGCUAAUGAGAAUCUGGAGAGAAGAGAUACGAACAGUUAGGAGAGAAGAAUCGCAGGAUGGUGGGUGUGCAGACAAAGAUGGGUGAUUGUUCAUUUUCCUGGAUGACAGCUACCUUGUUAAGCUGGCUUUUAUAAAGUGCACUGAUGGCUUUAUCUCCAUCAGCAUCAGGAACAAUUACUGAGUACCUUUUUUUUUUUUUUUAAAGAUUUUACUUUUCCUUUUUCUCCCCAAAGCCCCCGGUACAUAGUUGUGUAUUUUCAGUUGUGGGUCCUUCCAGCUCUGGCAUGUAGGACACCACCUCAGCAUGGCCGGAUGAGCGGUGCCAUGUCCACACUCAGGAUUGGAACCAGUGAAACCCCUGGCUGCCAAAGCGGGAUGCGUGAACCCAACCACUCAGCCACAGGCCGGCCCCCGCUGAGUACUUUUAACGAGAACAACUGUCUGAAAAAAGGUUUGGAUGGUGGGAGGAGUGGAGAGAGAGCAUAAUGGCACUCAGGAUCUUAGCCUUGACAAAGAGACAACACCAGCUAUAAAACAGGUUUUGGUAUUACAUUUACAAGUGGUCCUAGAGCAAAUUAAGCCUGAACUCUUACUGGAGGCAAAAAUGAUAAAACUGAGGUUGUGCCACUUUGGACACAUCAUGAGAAUGCAGAAUUUUUUGGAAAAGACAAUAAUACUGGCAAAAGUAGAAGGCUGCAGGAAACAAGGAAGACUAAAUCUGAGAUGGAUUGACUCCAUAACUGAAGCCAUAGGCAUGAAUCUACAGGAGCUCAUUGGUGCUGUUGAGGACAGGACAUUGUGGACAUCACUCAUUCAUGGGGUCACCACGAGUUGGAGCCAACUUGAUGGCAUGUAACAAGAACAACUACAUUUUUACUUUUCCAAUGACUUUUGAGCUGUGCUUCUUUGUAUUACUUUUUUAAUGGUUGCCCUAGGGAUUACAAUAUGCACUUUUAGCUCAUCACAUUCUACUUAAGAUUAAUAUUGUACUACUUCUCUCAAAAUGUAAGAAACUUGUAACAACAUAGAUCCUUUUACCCUUUACCCCAUUCUUGUUAGUAUUUUUGUUGUAUAUAAUACGGUCAUGCAUCACUUAAUGACAGGGAUACAUUCUGAGAAAUGCAUUGUUAGGUUAGGCUAUUUUGUCAUUGUGUGAACAUCAUAGAGUGUACCUACACAAACCUGGAUGGUAUAGCCUACUACACACCUAGGCAAUAUGGAACUAAUCUUA